UGCUGCUGCUGCUGUGGAGCUCAGGAGUCCAUCUGGAAGACAGAAACCGUCCAGCUGAGGCUGAUUAUGAGUUCAGGUUGGUGGGAGGAAGCUCUGGCUGUUCAGGUGAAGUGGAGCUGAAACACCUCGGAGAAUGGAGACCAGUGGACGACUUUUACUGGAACCUGAAGUUAUUAACUGCAGUCUGUGAACGUCUGGACUGUGGCCCUGUUGUUUCCAUCAAUACAACA